rnacentral:lncRNA from 1 species
GAGAGAUGUAGACCAGGGAUCUGUAAGCACUUUUACAGGUCUGCCGAGUUUGACUGAUCCAUGCCACCAUAUUCAGCAACACCUGAGUUUUAGAUGGGUUUUACACGCAUGCACAAGAGGAUGUGAACUCUCUACUGCUGGUCUAUAGUCAUGCCGCCUGCCUGCAUGCCCUGCUCGCCCUGCUCCACACCACGAAGGCCCUGGACUCGAACCCUCUGGAACCAUGAGCCAGAAGCUAAAUGCUUCCUUUAAUAAGUUGUGUUGGUCAUUUGGUUCUGUCACAGAAGAAAAGUAACCAAGACACAGACUUUAUAGCCACUUCUCAGUUGAAACAAAUGCAGUUGUUUUUUAAAAUUCUUUAAAAUUGCUUACUUUGAAGAUUAUUAAUUUUUUUAUUUGCACUUGUAUGUGUGUGUAUGUGUUUCAGUCUAUGUGAUUGUCUAUACUGUAUAUGCCUACAGAUAUGUGAAGGCCAGGAAAGAGUGUGGAGUUCCGCAUACUUAGUUAAGCAACUGACAGGAACAUUUAUUUUCUUCUUCCUUCGGCUUUCUCUUUGACAGGAUGGUGAUCAACCUAAUCUUUCUAUCAUUUCAUUUCUGUGGUCAGGAAUCUGACACACUGUUCUGGCCUCCAUGGAUAGCAGUCAUGCACAUGGUCCAAAAACAUACAGUUAGGCAAACACUCAUACACAUCUUAGAUAUUUUUUUUUAAAUCUUAACAAUCCAUAAACAAUAUGAGUUCUUUUUUUUUAACCUAUACUAUCUGUUGGCUACCCCUGUCUCACAUUUUCUCCCACACACCUUAUACCCUCUCUUCCAUGGAGAAAUGCAUGGAGAUCUCUAAAUGUUGGAUAUCUAAGUGUCAUGACAUAAUCUCCCACAUCUACUCGUGUUAU